CGUAAAACGUGAUGUAUUUUCAUAACCAUUUGUUGAGUAAGUGUAUGCUUAUUUCCCUUUUACUUGAUUUGAAAUAUUUUAGUACUCAUUUUCUUAUGUACAGAUAUAUGCACUUCAUUUAAAUAAUUAGUCCAAAGGCACGACGAGCAGGUAUUAUUAUGUUUCUCAAAAGUAGAAAGAGAAAACAUAAUUACUCUGGGUUCCAUUUUCUAUACUUCUAUACAAUAAUUUCAUGCUCUUAGCUUUAGCAUCAAAUUCUUUGGCAAAACAAACGGCAAGUUUGAAGUCUGAACUGGACUGUUGCGGGUGCGUGUUUCUUACAGGAACUUCGUUGGGAACCUAUAAUCUUUUACAUCCGGAUACUGCAGUUCGAGCAUGCUGAUACGGACCACCUCAAUAUUUUUGUUUCUACAUGGUUCACAUGCAUUUUACAAAUGGAUCUUGACAGAUCUUUAUGAAUCAGAAAACCCCCGAUACUGUGUGUUGUUUAUGGAAAAUUCAAUAGUAUGUUCUCAUUUUGGUUACUUCUUAGACUCUUAGUAGAUAAUAAGCUGUGAAGUAUGUCUGUUGAGAAUUGUUUUAUGCUAGUCCAUGAGUGUCCCUACUUGCUUUAGGGACAUAUAUUCGUAGACUCGUAAGACUCACAGGCCACAUAUGCUAGUCUACGAUCUUUACACAAAUCAGGCUACAUAUGUAGGUUGACAUAAUCUUCUCUCGAUUCUUCCGUAUUUUAUUUCUCCUGGAUGUGAAAAGCAUGUUUCCUUUCUGCCAGCCAUUAUCAUUGGCAUAGGGGACUUUAUCUUUUCCUUUCUUUUCAGUCAUUAUCUCACACACAACAAAAUAUCUCGGGCUAUACACAACUCCAACACAAAGUAUGCGAUUGCACGACUUGCCACUCAAUACGCAAUAAGAGCAAGUUUUUGUGCAUCUAUACUGACUACUAUAGUGAGCUAUGUAGUGGAUAUGCACUAUACUGAUGUUGUUUCCCUUUUAAAUGCUUGGGUAUUCCUUUCGUCGGAUUUGGUUCAUAUACAUAGGCCGUCUGUGCUAUAUUGAGACGCCCUUGGUUAUUGAAUAUGACCAAAAUGUAACUAGAUACUCGAUCUUGCGUAGAUCCCAAUUUCCACUCAUUUGCUGACUUCUGUAUACUACAUCCGCCUUCAUGGAGGCAGUAGCUAAGAAAAGUCAGGCAGGUAUGUGGACAGUAGGGUCAUAAGCAGUAUUUUAUCCUCAUGGCCUAACUUCUCCAUUGCUAUGGAAUUAAUUAUUUUUUUGUUUCUUUCUGGAGGUUCCCUCAGCACAAAAAGAUAAAUACAAUUUUUCCAUGACCAGGAGCAAGCCAGGAAGGCAUGGAAGCAGCACUGAUGUGGAGGCCACCAACCUGUCAAUCUUGCAGUCCACUUUGUGCUCUACACCUUUUUAUCUUGGGCAUCUUUACUUCUGAAGGCUCCCCAUACACUGCAGUUGUUUUCGCAUCUGAGCUCUUCUCGCUUGCUUCUUCAUUGGAACACUGAUCAGUCAUCAUCAGUGUGGUGACAAUUAGUAGUUCCUCUUCCUAUGCCCAUUGAAUGCAUCACGUAGGUCAGGUCCUUUUCUCAUAUAUAUAUGUGUCUCAAAAUCCUUUCAUUUUUUUUGAGAGAUCCUUCCAAAAAAAUUAUGCUCCUUGGCCUUUGGAAAGAAGGCUAAAAUGUCUUCUGAAAAUAAAUGCUUGGGCUCACUUAUGUUUCUUCUCCUUUUCUUUAAUACAUUUUGGCUAUAACCUUGAAGUUCACCUACAUAUUUUGUUUUCGAGAAAAAGCAAAGCUUGCGUUUCUAUCUAUUGAAAUCGGAGAACCACAUGUUCUUUUCUUUGCACCGCACAAGUUUUCCAUCAAUUCUUGUGUUUCUCAGUGUCAACCUGAACCUUGUGGCGCAUGUACGUUGCCAACUCACUAGUGCAGUCUAACAAAAAAAAUCAAGUCUUAUUGCUAUGCUUAGCAAAUACUCCCUCCGUUCACAAAUACAAAAUGUUUUGGAUGUUUUAAUAUGGAGUACAUACAGACUGGAACGAGUGAACAAACACACUAAAACAUGUCUAUAUACAUCUGAUUCAGAAACAAGUAAGAACGUCUUAUAUUUGUUAACGGAGGGAGUAAUUGGUAAAAUGCAAUAAUGGGUUUAUAUAUAGCCCAUGACUUGGUAUGUGAAUUCUUGCAGGGUGGUGAAAUUGACCAGAAAGUGGGUAGCAGGGGUUAUUGCCUUUGGUAGGAUAAGAUGGUGAAAUGUUCUUAGAUUAGGAUAUUCUUGCUUUCGCUUGAGCAGAUUGAUUUUUGGUUCGUUUUAAUUCUCCAUUUCUUGUGGUGUACAUCAGUUGCCAGGAGAUAACUCUCUUCCUAUGAUGAUGGUGACCACCACAAACCACGAGACGACGGAUGCGUCAAGUUCAUUUCAAAGAUUAUGGUGACAAGCACUGGUGAGUUAGCAUACAGUCUUCAUACGGAGGUGAUGAACUAUGGAUGUCAACUGUCGACUGGAACUCUUCUGGUACCGAGGUCUCAACUCCAGCCAUGGUUCACGCGCUUGGAGAAAAAGAUACGAGAUGUCUAUAAAGCUAUCACCGCACUUCGGACGUUGUUCAGCAACAACACCAGCAACAGCAGCAUCUGCGUCCCUUCAUGCAUCGAUAGUAGCCGCGUCCACGUCUAGAACAACAACCGAUGCCACAUCCACCACCUCCCGACCAGGCUGUCCGUUCCGCGUGGCAUCACCCACAACACCAUACUCUCUCGUCGAGCUUCGUGUUUCAGCCAACACCACAACAUCGCGGUCCCACUACGGGUUUCAUGUUUCACCCACACCCGACUGGUAUGCAGCCACCUGCAGGAUCCUAUGCAUAUCAGGAGGCGUCGACGUUCGGAUCCGGGUGCGCGAGUGAACAAGAAGAACAACUAUCGGAGCAAAACAUGUGGAUGGACAUGUUUUCGACUCCUCCACCAUGGCCCACACAGGAUACACAGAAUGACCAGGGCGGGUCCGAAAUUCCUCUUCGUAACAUUAGGGCACCCCACAAGUUUGGAUGGAGUACGCCUCCCACACCGCCAGAGCGCCAAGGCAAACGUCGUUAGUGAGGCUUCUAUCUAUCAGUAGAGACAUGGCUAUCUAAUUAUGUAUGAGACAUAUGUCUAUUUUCUGUAUGCGACUUCUAUCUAUCAUUAGAGACAUGACUGUCUAAUUAUGUAUGAGACAUAUGUCUAUUUUAU